GUAGUAUUCCCUCCGUCCCAAAAUUCUUGUCUUACAUUUGUCUAGAUACGGAUGUAUCUAACACUAAAAUGUAACUAGAUACAUCCGUAUUUAGACAAAUUUAAGACAAGAAUUUUGGGACGGCGGGAGUACAAA
rnacentral:pre_miRNA from 1 species